UACGAAGGGUGCAAGCGUUACUCGGAAUUACUGGGCGUAAAGCGUGCGUAGGUGGUUUGUUAAGUCUGUUGUGAAAGCCCCGGGCUCAACCUGGGAAUGGCAAUGGAUACUGGCAGGCUAGAGUGCGGUAGAGGGUAGUGGAAUUCCCGGUGUAGCGGUGAAAUGCGUAGAGAUCAGGAAGAACACCCGUGGCGAAGGCGGCUCUCUGGGACGGUACUGACGCUGAGACGCGAAAGCGUGGGGAGCGAACAGG
rnacentral:rRNA from 1 species